GAGGGUAUAGCUCAGUGGUAGAGUGCAUACCCAGCAUACACAAUGUCCUGGGUUCAAUCCCUUGUACCUCCA
rfam:Camelus ferus unplaced genomic scaffold scaffold525, whole genome shotgun sequence.